rnacentral:rRNA from 1 species
CUACGGGAUGCACCAGUGGGGAAUAUUGCACAAUGGGCGCAAGCCUGAUGCAGCCAUGCCGCGUGUAUGAAGAAGGCCUUCGGGUUGUAAAGUACUUUCAGCGGGGAGGAAGGGAGUAAAGUUAAUACCUUUGCUCAUUGACGUUACCCGCAGAAGAAGCACCGGCUAACUCCGUGCCAGCAGCCGCGGUAAUACGGAGGGUGCAAGCGUUAAUCGGAAUUACUGGGCGUAAAGCGCACGCAGGCGGUUUGUUAAGUCCGAUGUGAAAUCCCCGGGCUCAACCUGGGAACUGCAUCUGAUACUGGCAAGCGUGAGUCUCGUAGAGGGGGGUAGAAUUCCAGGUGUAGCGGUGAAAUGCGUAGAGAUCUGGAGGAAUACCGGUGGCGAAGGCGGCCCCCUGGACGAAGACUGACGCUCAGGUGCGAAAGCGUGGGGAGCAAACAGGAUUAGAUACCCCUGUAGUC